rnacentral:rRNA from 1 species
UACGGAGGGUGCAAGUGUUAUCCGGAUUCACUGGGUUUAAAGGGUGCGUAGGCGGACAGGUAAGUCAGUGGUGAAAUCUCUGGGCUUAACCCAGAAACUGCCGUUGAUACUAUUUGUCUUGAAUAUCCUGGAGGUAGGCGGAAUAUGUCAUGUAGCGGUGAAAUGCUUAGAUAUGACAUAGAACACCGAUAGCGAAGGCAGCUUACUACAGGAUGAUUGACGCUGAGGCACGAAAGCGUGGGGAGCAAACAGG